rnacentral:rRNA from 1 species
AACGAACGCUGGCGGCAGGCCUAACACAUGCAAGUCGAGCGGACCUUUCGGGGUCAGCGGCGGACGGGUGAGUAACGCGUGGGAAUAUGCCCUUCUCUAAGGAAUAGUCCUGGGAAACUGGGGUUAAUACCGUAUACGCUCUUUGGGGGUAAGAUUUAUCGGGGCAGGAUUAGCCCGCGUUGGAUUAGGUAGUUGGUGGUGUAAUGGCCUACCAAGCCGACGAUGCAUAGCUGGUUUGAGAGGAUGAUCAGCAACACUGGGGCUGCGACACGGCCCAGACUCCUACGGGAGGCAGCAGUGGGGAAUCUUAGACAAUGGGGGCAACCCUGAUCUAGCCAUGCCGCGUGAGAGAUGAAGGCCGUAGGGUUGUAAAGCUCUUUCAGCUGGGAAGAGAAUGACGGUACCAGCAGAAGAAGCCCCGGCUAACUCCGUG